GGGGGUGUGGCUCAGUGGUUAAGAGUGCUGGCUGUUCUUCUGAAGGUUCUGAGUUCAAUUUUCAGCACUCACA
rnacentral:tRNA from 1 species